AAAGCUUUAAGUUAAAAAAAACUUAAGACCUUCAAAGUCUUCAAAGAGGCCCCCUCAAGCUUAG
rnacentral:tRNA from 1 species